UUGACUGUCACAAUCAAAGUUGAUUUUGUUACAUAUUUAUUUGUUUUUCUUUUAUUAGUAUUGCCCUGUGUUGAGCCUUAUUUGUAUUUAGUGUUUAUCCUGCAAGGAGCCCCAUUGUAACGCUCAGGUGAUUUAAAUAUUUGGCCAGUCGCUAUAUAAGGUGAUGUCAGGUUUGUCUUGGGUAGCGCACGUUUUCCUUGACCAGUGAAAGUAGUUUCACAUGUCCAUGGAGGGUUAGGUAGUUUUUCGUGGUAACUGAAUCUCCAAUCAGGGUCCCUAUUGAUACAUGUACGUUAGUAUGAUUUGGUGCUGUCGGCGGAGGCAACCUAAGGGCGUAGUACGCUGGGUCGAGACCGUGAGAGAGGAAACGUGGUUUCCCGGAUUUGGCAGCAUUGCAGACGCUUAAGACGCGUGGGAUAGGCGCGGGACGUCGAGGACGUGGUGGCAUUUGGUGUAAGGGCGUGGUACCCGUAGGUCAUGGACCGUUAAACACAGGAGGCGGGGACGGAUAUAGGAACGUGGUCUCAGGAUGGACACUGAUAGACAUUUUGAAAUUCAUUAAUUUCAUUUUGUAUAUUUGUACAUAUUUGUUUUUAUAUAAAAUUGUAAAAAGAAAAUAGUUUGGUUAUCACUGAUCAAGCUUAGGGUGUCGUGACAAUGGUGUCAGAAGUGGGAUGAUGAUGUUAGCUUUGAUCAGUGAUUGUUUUUUUUUUAAAUGUUUUUUGUGUAAAUUGGAUUGAACGUUGGAAAAAUAUUGUAGUAUUUUCAUGUAUUGAAGUUAUAAUAUUUUUUUUUAUUGUAUUGUUGUAAAGAGACGUUCAGAUAGAAGUUAGGGGACCCUGAGAGGAGAGGACGUUACCAUGAAUUAUUUGCAGUUUGGUUUGAUUACUUGAGUUUUGUUGAGAUGGAUUUGUU